UCUCUCGCGCUCGUGGGGGGUCAGCGCGUCCCCUCACCUCUUUCCCCUUCUUUCCUUCUCGUUCCCCGCUGGAGCUCUCACCUCACCGUUCGUUGCCGUCCUCAAAUCUGCGACGGAGAUGGUCGAAUCCCCGUCGAUGUCCUCGCUGACUAUCGCUCUCCGUCGCCAACUCUUCCUUCCCAGCGGUCGUUGCUCUGCCAGAUCCACACCCCCAUCCACGGCAGCGGAAUGGGUGCCAGCCGGAGGCCGCCGCCAACGCCACCUUCCAGGCGCCCCUUGCUCUCUCAGAUCUACACCCCAUCCAUCGGAGCGGGGUGGAUGGUAGCCGGAGGCCCAGGAGGUGCCAGGUCGUCUGUGCAUCGUCCCAUCUAAACAGCAGCAGGAGCGCCCAAUGUCUCCCGUGUUCGUGCAAAAUUUUCUCACGGGGUCUUGUGAUUCGCUCAUGGAUGAUUGAGACCGGAACAGCAGGUUAAUGCAUGGAAUUAAGCUCUAAUUCAACCUGAUUUUGGUUCAGAUUUGUUUUACUUGUUUGAGAAAUCUAUGAUAAAUAAAAUUGAAAUUGAUUUUUAUUU